rnacentral:rRNA from 1 species
UCCGGUUGAUCCCGCCGGAGGCUACCGCUAUUGGAGUUCGAUUAAGCCAUGCGAGUCGAGAGUCUUAGGGACUCGGCGUACCGCUCAGUAACACGUGGGUAACCUGCCCUAUGCUGGGGAAUAACCUCGGGAAACUGAGAAUAAUACCCCAUAGCCCACCAUGCCUGGAACGGUUGGUGGAUCAAAGCUCCGGCGGCAUAGGAUGGGCCUGCGGCGUAUCAGGUUGUAGGGGGUGUAACGUACCCUCUAGCCAUCAACGCGUACGGGUGUUGGGAGACAUAGCCCGGAGAUGGAUUCUGAGACACGAAUCCAGACCCUACGGGGUGCAGCAGGCGCGAAAACUUGGCAAUGCGGGAAACCGUGACGAGGGAACUCCAAGUGUCUAUGCAUUGCAUAGACUGUUUUUUAGCCUAAAUAGCUAUUAGAGUAAGGGGUGGGCAAGACCGGUGCCAGCCGCCGCGGUAACACCGGCACCUCGAGUGGUAGCCACUAUUAUUGGGCCUAAAGCGUUCGUAGCCGGUUUGGUAAAUUCUUGGGUAAAUCGUACCGCUUAACGGUGCGGAUUCCGGGGACACUACUAGACUUGAGACCGGGGGAGAUCAGAGGUACUUGCGGGGGAGCGGUGAAAUGUUGUAAUCCUGCAGGGACCACCAGUGGCGAAGGCGUCUGAUCAGAACGGCUCUGACGGUGAGGAACGAAACCCUGGGGCGCAAACGGGAUUAGAUACCCCGGUAGUCCAGGGCGUAAACGCUGCUGACUUGGUGUUGGGGAUCCUACGAGGAUGUCCAGUGCUGGCGCGAAGGUAUUUAGUCAGCCGCCUGGGGAGUACGGUCGCAAGACUGAAACUUAAAGGAAUUGGCGGGGGAGCACUGCAACGUGUGGAGCGUGCGGUUUAAUUGGAUUCA